GUGGUCUUAUAGAUGAGGGGAUACAGAUAGAUGGAGUAUAAAUUAUUCCGUCUGUGGGCUUAUAGAUGAGGGGAUACAGAUAGAUGGAGUAUAAAGGCUUCAGUGUGUGGUCUUAUAGAUGAGGGGAUUCAGAUAGAUGGAGUAUAAAGUAUUCAGUCUGUGGGAUUAUAGAUGAAGGGACACAGAUAGAUGGAGUAUAAAGUAUUCAGUCUGUGGGCUUAUAGAUGAGGGGAUACAGAUAGAUGGAGUAUAAAGUAUUCAGUCUGUGGGCUUAUAGAUGAAUCGACACAGAUAGAUGGAGUAUAAAGUAUUCAGUCUGUGUGCUUAUUGAUGAGGGGAUACAGAUAGAUAUGUGGGCUUAUAGAUGAGGGGACACAGAUAGAUGGAGUAUAAAGUAUUCAAUCUGUGGGCUUAUAGAUGGGGGGAUACAGAUAGAUGGAGUUUGAAGUAUUCAGUCUGUGGGCUUAAAGAUGAGGGGAUACAGAUGGAGUAUGAAGCAUUCAGUCUGUGGGCUUAUAGAUGAAGGGACACCGAUAGAUGGAGUAUAAAGGCUUCAGUGUGUGGUCUUAUAGAUGAGGGGAUUCAGAUAGAUGGAGUAUAAAGUAUUCAGUCUGUGGGCUUAUAGAUGAGGGGAUACAGAUAGAUGGAGUAUAAAGUAUUCAGUCUGUGGGCUUAUAGAUGAGUCGACACAGAUAGAUGGAGUAUAAAGUAUUCAGUCUGUGUGCUUAUUGAUGAGGGGAUA
ensembl:lncRNA